AUCGGUCUGUAGAGUCCCAAAUAGGACGAAACGUGCGUCGUGGAU
rnacentral:hammerhead_ribozyme from 1 species